UCUGUCGACUCUUUGGAUGCUUUGGAUCAUCAGUAGAUGUACUUGAGAGAUUGAUGAAGCUCUCUCUAAAAUCUAGUGGGCUCACGACACUCGUAGCUCACUUUCUCACUUUCCGAACCCUAGGCAGAAAACCUAGGGUACACAAGAAAAACCUUGCGCCCACUCUUUCCUUUCUUUUCUCUUCUUUUCUUUUCUUUUCUCAUGCACAAGACUUUUCUCAUGCCACACUUC
rnacentral:lncRNA from 1 species